rnacentral:rRNA from 1 species
AGUGAACGCUGGCGGUAGGCCUAACACAUGCCAGUCGAACGGCAGCACAGUAAGAGCUUGCUCUUACGGGUGGCGAGUGGCGGACGGGUGAGGAAUACAUCGGAAUCUACUUUUUCGUGGGGGAUAACGUAGGGAAACUUACGCUAAUACCGCAUACGACCUACGGGUGAAAGCAGGGGAUCUUCGGACCUUGCGCGAUUGAAUUAGCCGAUGUCGGAUUAGCUAGUUGGCGGGGUAAAGGCCCACCAAGGCGACGAUCCGUAGCUGGUCUGAGAGGAUGAUCAGCCACACUGGAACUGAGACACGGUCCAGACUCCUACGGGAGGCAGCAGUGGGGAAUAUUGGACAAUGGGCGCAAGCCUGAUCCAGCCAUACCGCGUGGGUGAAGAAGGCCUUCGGGUUGUAAAGCCCUUUUGUUGGGAAAGAAAAGCAGCAGGUUAAUACCCCGCUGUUCUGACGGUACCCAAAGAAUAAGCACCGGCUAACUUCGUG